rnacentral:rRNA from 1 species
ACGGAGGAUCCAAGCGUUAUCCGGAUUUAUUGGGUUUAAAGGGUGCGUAGGUGGCUUUUUAAGUCAGGGGUGAAAGACGGUAGCUUAACUAUCGCAGUGCCUUUGAUACUGAAGAGCUUGAAUACACUAGAGGUAGGCGGAAUGUGACAAGUAGCGGUGAAAUGCAUAGAUAUGUCACAGAACACCAAUUGCGAAGGCAGCUUACUAUGGUGUUAUUGACACUGAGGCACGAAAGCGUGGGGAUCAAACAGGAUUAGAUACCCUGGUAGUCCACGCCCUAAACGAUGAAUACUCGAUGUUGGCGAUAUACGGUCAGCGUCUAAGCGAAAGCGUUAAGUAUUCCACCUGGGGAGUACGCCCGCAAGGGUG